rnacentral:lncRNA from 1 species
GUCCUUUACCAAUUUAACAAAUCUGCUGAUGGAAAAGGAAAAUUCUAAUACAUUAUACAGUCAACUGGAAAAACUAGGGUCAAAAUUGGAUAUAUAGAUGAUAGUAAGAACACAUAUCAGCAUUAAAACAAGAGUUUUAAUUCACAAUUAAAUACUUUAAAAUGACCUCUAAAUAGACAUCUUGAUUAAUGACAUGGCUCACAUGUCGUUAGUAUGUCAACUACUUAUAGGACCCAAAUAUAAAAUAUACUUAAUAGGUAGGAAUGUUAAAAUGAAAAUUUGAAUAGUCUUUGUAUGAUUAGUACUUCUAGGAAAAUAAAACCCUUUUUAUAUCAGUAAUUACUAACAAAUAAGGAGCUUCCAUUUUAUGGGGGAAAACAUAUAAAAGGGAAUUGAAAUGAAGAGAUUCGAGGAAAAUUGGGGUUUCGAGAAGAACUCUGUGGAGAGUUAAGAGUGGUAGGUGAGAAGUGAGAGUAGCUGAUUUGAACACUUAUUUAAAUGGAAGUUCUUGGGAAGAACUUAGAAUUAUAAUGUUGGAGGCAUUUCUAUUUUCUGAAGUCUGCUAAAGCAGAAGUGGAAAAUUAUGGUAAAAGGAAGCAGAGCUAAGAAAGAAGUAAUUCAAUACAUUUACAAACACCAUUCAAGUGACAAAGUCGGGGGGGUGGUGGAGAAACAGUUUCUUAAAAGAACUAUAGCUUAUUAUAUGAAUGGACAAAAAAUUCAUAAUCUUUUGUUGUUCAUGUUUAGAGGCUUUAAUUACCUUAGAUUUUUCUGGAAGACAUGUUUUCAAGAAAAGAAAGGGUAUUUUUAAACAAGGUUGAUAUCAUUUGGGACCAUAUGAUCUGAAAGUAUUGAUUUAGAACAUAUGAUCAAUGAUUAUUUUGCCUGUGUUCAAUAUAAUGAGUAUUCAGGUUAGUCCCACGAAUAUAUGGUCAUUUAGUAACUUGUGGCAUUUUAAAAAUUUGUGCUAUUUUUUUUCUCAAUAUACAAAUGCAAUUAUUGCACUAGACUGACCCUUCCAAAAAAAAAAAAAAAACCCAAGUCAGCAUAUUUUUAUUAUGGAGAAAAUAGCACUAGAUAUUUCCAAUUAUCAUUAGAAAGAUCUAAUGAUAAUAUAGCAGGAUGUCUAAUAUUUUAUCCAGAAAGUUGGCAUGGAUUAAUCACCUUUGGGCAGUUAGUUGUUAUUAUGGAUAGUCUGUAGUCAGGAAGACCUGAAUUCAAAUUCAGCAUCAGAUACUCAUUGUGUGAGAUUGGUCAAGUCAUUUAACUUUAGAUUCCUCAUCUAUAAUAUGGAGAUAAUAUCUUCCUUAUUUGGCUGUUAUGAGAAUCAAAUGAGAUAAUUAUAAAGUGCUUAGCAUAGUGUCUUCCACACAUAUUAUGUAAAUGUAAGCUAUUAUUAUUAUUUUAGAAUUCUGUAGUGUAUUUAAGUGUUAUAUUUCUUUGAAAUGAAUUCUCUUUCUUUGAUGUUUCAGCCUUAUCUUCUUUAUUUGUGUGAUGAUGUUAUAUAGCGUUUGCAAAGCCAAUGGCUUUGUACCUAGAAUAAGAUUCUAGAAUAUAAUUAUCUUUUCUUUUGGUUGCUGUUCAUCUGUAAUAUUUGCGAGGAAAAUCAUGGCAGCAUUCUGUUGUCCCUGAAAAUUGUUGUGAUUAGAAUGGGAAAGAACAUUAAUUUUAACUAUUUUGAAAUCUGGUUUUUAUGUUUUGAAUUCUAAUGUUUCUGCUGAUUUUAGCAUCAAGUAACUUAACACAUUAUCUUUAAUUUCCUUAUUUACUUUCUCCCAAGUUCCCCUCUUUAUAGUUUUAGUAACAUAAAAGUAUUUGUGAUAUUUUAGUAAAAUUUUCCUGGAUCCCAACAUAGGUUUCUGUUAUCUCUCUUCUGGUAUUUUAUGGGGAUGAAACUUGUAUAUACCUUGUAGGCAGGUACUAUUUACUUUUUUUUUUUUUUUUUUUUUUUUACAAAUACAGUAUUUUUAGUUUGUGAUACAGAGUAGAUAUUAUUCUUAUUGACUGAAUUAAAGAGAUUUUGCAGAAGAACUGGACAAAGUUGUGAAUGUAAUUCUACAGGAUGAAGUCAAAAGCUCCUUAUUUGGUGUAUGGCAGCAAAGAAUUGAAACUAGAAGGUAUGAAUCAAUAGAGUAAUGGGUGAGCAAGUUGUGGUAUAUGAUUGUUGUGAUGACUGCGUUCGCACUCUGGAUACCUUAGAAUCAGCUGGAGUCAGGAUAAGCAAAAGUCCUUGAUCUUUAUUCUUGGUCUUUAGAUGUAGGAUUGAAUUGAAUGGAAGCAGAAUCUCCCCGACCUUCCUUUUUCGUCUCCUACCCAGAAGUCACCCUUGCUGGUUAUAUUCCACCCCCUAGUCCCUCCUACAAUUCUCUGUAUACACCAAUUAUCAAGUCAGCACAGGAUAGUGAGAAGGGCCAUUUUCUUUCCAAGCAUAUGCUUAUAGAGUAUUAUCCACUUGGUAAUUAGCCUUAAGUGGUCGAACUGACCUCAGUGAAUCGACUCAAGAGUUUCAGCCCUUUACAUCUCCCACUUUCUUUUGUUUUAGAACACAGGUGGUCAUGCCAUCCUUGACUUCUCAGAGAGGUGAGAACCCCAAAAAGGAGUGAUCAUGCCCUCCCUGACUUCUCAGGAAAAGAGGUGAAAACACCAAAAAGGAGGUGAUCACCACCCCCCCCUGACUUCUCAUGAAGGGAGGUGAAAAGCACUAAAGGGAAGUGAGGGUUGCUAGCAAGUUUCUGGGCUGAAGGGUCUUAUUAGAAACAGAUAGACACAAACCCAUCAGCAUGGGAGGUAUUACACAAGCACAUAUCAAUAACGCAGAGGCUAUUAGUGAUGACUCUUCUCACAGCCAGUGCAGGCUCAAUGUGGUGUAACAAACAUGAAUUGUACAUGCAAGUAGUGGUAUAACAAAUAAUAUGAAUCAACAUGGUAUUGUAAAAGAUUUCCAGAAAUCCUAGAAGGAGAGUAUGUACACAACAGUCACAUAUACGUCUUCUUCAGCAGCCUAGAGAUAGUCCAAAACCAAUCUAUUGUCCAUUGCUUCACGUGUCAGAGAAUCCAAUGAUCCCCACAAGUUUUUGAAGUCCUGCAACAGUCUUUUUAUAUGUUAGGGAAUCCAAUGAUUCCUGCAGAUUUUGAAGUCCUGCAACAGUUGUAUCAUUUCUCAGAAAAUCCAAUGAUUCCUGAGGGCUUUGCAGUACUACAGCAGUCUUAUCAUGUCUCAGAGAAUCCAAUGAUUCCUGAGAGUUUUGAAAUCCAACAAUUUUUGAUAUCCAUGAGUCAAAUGCAAUAACUGCCAUGCUCUUUCAGUGGUGGGCACAGUCAGCAAUGGAACCACCCGAUAUUUCUUGAGUCUUCUCCUUUGUUUCAAGGUCUGCUCCAUCUCUCUCUGAGGGACAAGGUGAAUACGGCUUGUUGGCACCCAUCUGAUUCCUUCUCCAUCUGUAGAGAUAAAAGCAAAUCCUCUCCCCCAAGCAGUUAAUCUAUCUGGUCCCUUCCAUUCACCACUUUCUGGGUCUCUUCCCAUCACCUGGUGAUUAUCUAAAGAUAGUGGAGCUGCCCGCACUGGGACAUUGCCCUUCCAGUGGGUUAUAAAACCAGUCUGCCAGAGCCAGUGCAUCUUUGUCAACAAUCAAGAAGUUAAUAGUAUAAAGGGCUAGAUUUAGAAGUUCUCUAGAGUUACUUGUGGCUCCCCCUUUCCUUUGUUUUUAGAGGAGCAUCUUAAUGUCUCUGUUUCUCCUCUCUACUAUUGCCUAUCCUUGAGGAUUAAAGGGUAUGCCAAUGGUGUGUAAAAUCUGAUACUGUACACAAAAGUGUACAAAAUGUUUUGAAGUAUAAGCAGGACCAUUGUCUGUUUUUAUUGCUUGUGGCACACCCAUAAUGGCAAAUGCUUGUGUGAGGAAUUCAGUGACCACUCAGGCUGUCUCUUUUGCUGCUGGUAUUGCAAAAGUGAAUCCCAAAAAGGUGUCUACCACAACGUGGAUGAAAGACAGACGACCAAAAGAUUUAUAAUGGGUCACAUCCAUCUGCCAGAUCUCAUUGGGUCUCAAACCACGAGGGUUCUUCCCUGGAGGCAGUGUAGGAGCGUGGAAAGGAAGGCAAGCCAGACAGGCUUUUACUAUGCUCCUAGCUUUCUCUCUUGUUAUUCCAAAUUGUAAACGUAAAGCUUGAGCAGCCUGAUGAUAUUUAAAAUGAGAUUCUUGGGCUUCUUGAAAUAAAGGAGUAUUGGGCAACAUAGUUAGAAGGCUAUCUGCCUUUUAAUUACCAUCAAAAAUAGGACCUGGAAGUCCACUAUGAGAGUGGACAUGCAAGAUAUAAAUAUUACCUGGAUGUUUUCUCACUUGCUCUUGAAGUUCCUUAAAGAGCUGAUAUAUAUUAAAGGCUAAAAAUUUUAUUUGUGCUGUGGCAGUUUUUUGUACCACACCUACUGAAUAAGACGAAUCAGAUAUUAUAUUUACAUCUCCUGGAUAAUAAGUAAGAGCUAGCAUGAUUGCAUAAAAUUCAUUCUGCUGAGUGGCCUGAAAAGGAGUUCUGACUAUUCUCUUUAUACUUAAGUCAUGAGAGUAUACAGCACAAAUGUUAUGUUUGGAUGCAUCUGUAAAGAUAGUUGAUCCUUUAAGAGAAACUUUAGAAACCUUUUCUUCAAGAAUCCAUUGCCACUUAUGUAAUAGUCUGGUUAUCUUUAAUGGAGACCCAUGUGUAAAAUUUGGAGUCAUGACUAAUAAAAUUUGUCACUCUGGGAUGGUCUUACAGCACACAUGAAUUUGUAUAAAAGGUGUAUAUCUUGUCAGAUCUUAUCCCAAAUAAUUGUACUGCUUGCUUAAUGGUCUUUAAUAAAAUUCUAGCUACAAGCACUGGGUAAGGAGUAAGGCUUUAUUCUGGUUGUGCUGGGAGGUUCACCCACUCUUUCACACUGUCUUCUUGAAGAAGGACUGCUAUGGGUGCCUUUUGUGUAGCAAAAACUGAUAUUUCGAAGGGUUUUUGAGUGACUCUUUUCAACCACAUUAGAUAAAGACAGUUCAAAUUUUCUCAAAGCCUCUUGAGCUUCUUUUGUAAGCUGGCAUGGUGAGUUUAAAGAACUGUCUCCCCUUAAAAUGUAAUAUAAUAGUUGCAAUUGAUAGGUAGUCAAACCUAACACUGGAUUCAUCCACUGGAUAUCUCCUAUCAAUUUCUGAAAGUCAUUUAAGGUGUUUAGCUUCUGUGUUCUUAAGGAAAGUUUUUGUACUGUGAGCACCUUAGGUUAUACUUUAUAUCCUAAAUAUUGAAAAGGAGCAUGUCUUUGAAUUUUUUCUGGAGUUAUGUACAAUUUGUAGUUCCUUAGUGUUUCUAUGGUCUUUUGUAGACAUGCUUCUAACAUUUGUUCCUCAGGUGCACAUCCCGAUAUAUCAUCCAUGUAAUGUAAUAACAUUACUUUUGGAACUGCUUUUUUUACUGGUAUAAGUAGCAACAUACAUUUGACAUAUAGUAGGGCUGUUUUUCAUUCCCUGUGGCAAAACUGUCCAUUCAUAUCUUUUAUAAGGCUCAGCUAAGUUAACGCAGGGCACUGAAAAGGCAAAUCUUUUCAUAUCAUCCUUAUCCAGAGGGAUAGAAUAGAAACAAUCCUUAAUGUGUAUAACCCAAAAGAGGCCAUUCUCUAGGUAAUUGAGCAGGAGAUGGAAGUCCAGGCUGAAGAGUUCCCAUAGUUUCCAUCUGCUCAUUUAAUCAGUCAACAUCCUCCAUUUUCCAGAUUUCUUUUUUACAACAAAUACUGGGGAAUUCAAAGGUCUUAGAGAAGGUUGUAAAUGUCCUUGGUCAACUUGCUCCUGUACUAUAUCUAAUAAGGCCUGAAUUUUAUCGCUAUCUAAGGGCCACUGUCCUAUCCACACUAGUGUAUCAGUUUUCCAUUGUAUAGGAAUAGGUGAAAAUGUUGGCAGGCCUUCAACAGCAGCCCUGUCUAAAAUAUCAAAAGUAUUCAUUUUAACACUAAUUGUUGUAAAAUGUCUCUUCCCCACAAAUUGAUGUGGAUUUUUCAACUAUAAAAAGAGUAAAAACUCCUGUUUUGCCUUCAUAAAUCCAUCUCAAAGUGGUGGCAAUAACUUCAGCUGCUACUGAUCCUCCUACGCCAGACAUGUAGGUGUCUGCCUUAAUCUUUGGCCAGUGACUGGACCAGUUGGAACCUCUAAUGACUGUAUGAUCUGCACCUGUGUCUACCAAUCCUUCCAAUGGUAUGCCAUUUAUAAUAGUGAGCAUAGGUCAGUCAGCUGUCACAGCCACUGUCCAGUAUAUCCCUGGAUUUUAUUGCUUAGAGUCAGAAUCUGGGCGACUAUCACCAAAUUGCUUAUUGUGUUAGUAAACCUGAUGCUACUACCUCUCCUGGUUGAUAAGUCACACAUUGUUUACCUGUAUUAGUGACUGGGAUAUUAUCUACACAUUCCCCAGUUUUCCACAUCAGUGUAUGGAUGGACACUGUUUUGUGCAUACUCUCAGGAGGUGAAAUGGUCAAGCCUACUGUGCCUGGAGGCAAGGGAACCAUAGACUGGAGAGGAACAGAUUUCACCUCUUCAGGGGGUAUCUCAGUUGUCGUAGCUGCUUACAACUCUAUUCUCCCUAAUUGUAAUCCCUUUCUCCCAUCAUAUGACUUUCUGUCUGAUUGGUCAUGGCACUCUCUGGGUGCACCAUUGGCUGCCAUCAUGCCCCAAGGGUUUUUUGUCUUGGGCCCUGGGGCUGGGCCCCUCAUCCCAUUUCCUUGAAUCAGUCUCCAUUCUGAGGCCCAAUGGAAGCCUCUUUUACAUUUUGUACAUGGGGUAUUGGGUCUUGUUCUCUCAUCCUGUUUUCUCAUUCUGUCUCUAUGCCAACAUUGAGCCCCACUUUACCACAUUGAAAGCAUUGAGGAGUCUCUCUGGAAGUCCCUUGCCAGAAGGGACCCCGUCUUCCCAUGUUGGGAUCUUGGGAAGUCUGUAUCAUAGCCUGGCUAUAAAAGGCAUUUGUGCCCAUUGUGGCACAGUGUCUUAUGAUCUCCUCUAAAGGAGCAUCCUUGCAUAGUCCUAGUAUAAUUCUUCUACAAACCUCAUUAGCAUUUUCUUUAGCAAGUUGCCUUAUCAAAAUGUUACUGCAUUUUCACCAUUAGUUCGUAUGAUAGCUGUCUGCAAAUGUUCCACAAAAUCAGUAAUAUGUUCAUUUGGCCCUUGUGCAAUUUUUGUGAAGGCCUCACCCUUGUUGUUUUUAUUGUGGAGAGAAGCCCAUGCUUUGAUAGCAGCAGCAGCAAUUUGCUCAUAUGCUGAUAUGGAGUAAUUAAUCUGUACUGAAAUGUCUGCAUAAGAACCUACACCUGUUAGUUGGUCACAGGUGAUUGGAGUAUUAACUCCACUUUGACUAUUUUGUUGAGCUUGUAUCCUACAGAGCUCACUAUAUUCAGGAAGCCACAACAAGUUUUGUCGAGGUUCUAAGCAUGUCCUUGCUAUAGAUUUCCAGGUAUUAGGGGUUGAUUUCAUAAGCCAAAUUCUGUAAUGACAUCUCAACAUAAGAUGAUGUAACCCCAUAUAAAGUGCAAGCCUUUUUCAGGUCUUUGAGGAUUUCUAGAUCAAAAGGAGUGUAUCUUCUGCUUUCUUGAUCUGAAGAGUUAAACUGUUGAAUCACCUGGAUAUAUACCUAGUUUCAAAUCACCUAUAUCCUUCCCUUCCUCUAUGACUUUAAGUAGUGCCUUUUGCAAUCUCCUCAGAGGAGGGGAUGAUUGCUUGGGGGUGGGGAGGUGCUGGUGGUAUCACUGCCCCUCCCACUACUCUUCCUCCCUUCCUGGGAUUGAUGGGGGUUGAGCUGCCUUGUGACAGUGAGAAUCACCUUCAAUAGUCUUACUCCACCCUCUAGUCCCUCCUACAAUUCUCUGUAUACAGCAAUUAUUGAUCCAUCACAGGUAGUGAGAAAGGUCAUUUUCUUUGCAAGCAUAUGCUUAUAUUGUCCAGUCGGUAAUUAGCCUUAAGUGCUCGAACUGACCUCAGUGCAUCAACUUAAGAGUUUCAGCCCUUUACAAUUGUGAUGGAAAAUAUUGUUGUCAGAAAUGAUGGAGAUGAUUUUUAGAAAAAUCUGCUAAAACUUGUAUGAAUUGACACAAAGUAAAGCUAGAACCAGAACACUGUAUAUAGUAACAGUACAAUCAGUUGUAAAAAAAGUAACUACUGUGGUCAGUGUAAUGAUCCACAACAACUCUAAAAAGCUCAUGACAAAAAAUACUGUCCACUUGCAAAGUGAGAACUGAAGAACUCUUGAGUGCAGAUUAAAGCAUGUUUAUUUAAUCUUUAUUCUUCUUGUUUUUGUCAUCUGCUGUAUGGGAAAUAAGGAAAUGUUUUUCAUGACUUUGUAUGUAUCAUAUUUCUUACCUUCUUGGUAGUUUUAGGUGUGAGGAAGGAGAGAAACUUAAAAGCUGGAAGUACAAAUUUAAAAAGAACAGAUAAGUUGGGCUUCUGUCUUUCAGUGAAAUAGUUAAUAAUGCUGGCAUAUGUUUGAAUUUUGGAUCAGAGCAAUCACUAUUGUCAAAGACUUGCCAUAGCCAUAUUAGUUAAUAUCAGUUCAAAUCAAUACAUAUUUUUCAAAUUAGGAAGGAAGGAAGGUUUUGAGGAAAUGUGUGGGUUUGAGGGAUAGGGUAAAGUGGAUUAGACCUUGGAGAAGAUACUGAUUUUAAAUAACUUAAAUUUGAAUUCAAAUAAGAUAGCUAAUUGAUGAUUGAUGUUAAAUGCAGUUAUGUGAAUUCAAAUAUUUUUGCAAUACCAAUUAUGGUUUUUCAAUUAUAGAUUAAGCAUUUUCUAUAGUGAGAUUCCAUAGUAGCAAGUACCACAGUAAAAGUAGUGCUGCUUUUAGAUAACAUGCUUUCCAGAGCCAUUCCUUUUUUUGUGAUUUAGAGAAUGUCCUGUAUUUUUUUUUUAAAUAAAGAGAACAUUGGAGUAAGUGAUAGAAAGGAGAAAGCAUUGAAAACAAGAUCGAAGAUCCUGGAGUGAGAAGUUGCUCUUUGUAUGUCAGUGCUGGCUCCAAGCCAGUGAUGGGAGUAUCACUGAAAAUGCUAAGAUUUUUGAUUUAUACAGUGAAUCAUUGAGGAUAUUUCUUUCAAUAUUCUAGAUUGCAAUCCUUCCAAUUCUUUUGGUUUUCUGCAUUUUGAUUUGUAUGCUUGCACAUGAUGGAUUGUAUCCACUGGAGGCCUUGCUGUUAUAGGUAUAUAACUUAAAUUUGAAUUCAGAUAAGACAGCUAAUUGAUGAUUGACAUUAAAUGCAAUUAUGUGAAUUCAAAUAUUUUUUGUAAUAUCAAUUAUGGUUUUUUCUAUUAUGAAUUAAGCAUUUUAUAUAGUGAGAUUCCAUAGUAGCAAGUACCAUAGUAAAGCAAUUUAGUGCUGCUUUAGUCAUGCAAAGCAGGUCAUCUAAAUAUUUUCAGAUAAUAGUACAGCAUUCUCAUUGUACAUCCAUUUGUCAUUCCUCAGUCUUGUUCUGUGACUGGUUGAUUUAAUUUUCCAUUUAUAUAUAUCCAUGUUGCUAUUUUUGGGACCUCUUGUUUCACACAAGUCAAGAUUGGUCAUAUAUUGAAGCUUAUUUAUAACUUCUGAGCACUUCUUCAUGGCUUUUUGGUAUUCCUACAAUAAAUGAUAUAGUGGGGAGAAAAGAGUGGUUGGAAAUUGGAUGACUUGAAUUUAAAUCCCAUCUUCUUUGGAUGCUUGUGUAUUAGAUUUGCCCUUUCUAAAUUUGAAGUUUCCUUAUCAGUAAAAUUGGGAGCAUAGUAGUUAUAAUAACUAUUUCAUGGGAUUUUUAAAUUAUUAUAAUAACUUUUUAUUGACAGAACACAUGCCAGG